rnacentral:lncRNA from 1 species
UUAAAUUCUGGUAUUGUUAGGGAGAUGGUUGAGUAUGUGGAAUCUGCCGAAGAGGUUCCCUUUUCUCAACCUCUUCCACAUUUUCCGGUGGUAAAGAAUCAGAGAAUGAUACCCAGUUUUUCACAAAUUGGUGAAACACCUUUAUUUAAGCACGUACCGCCGUGGUUGCCUCAUCUGAGAAUGAUACCCAGUUUUUCACAAAUUGGUGAAACACCUUUAUUUAAGCACGUACCGCCGUGGUUGCCUGCAUUUCCUGAUCCCCAUACUUAUAUACGGACCCCUACGUGGAAUGAGAGGGCAUCAGACCCUCGAGCUGAUAAAAUUGAAUUAGCAAGGCAGCGAAGGAAGGCGGA